GUGCCAGCCGCCGCGGUAAUACAGAGGCCUCGAGCGUUAAUCGGAGUCACUGGGCUUAAAGGGUGCGUAGGCGGCGCUGCAAGUGUCUUGUGAAAUCCCACGGCUCAACCGUGGAAUUGCUCGACAGACUGCAGUGCUUGAGGUUGGUAGGGGUCGCUGGAACUCUAGGUGGAGCGGUGAAAUGCGUAGAUAUCUAGAGGAACGCCGAAGGUGAAGACAGGCGACUGGGCCAAUUCUGACGCUGAGGCACGAAAGCGUGGGGAGCGAACGGGAUUAGAAACCCGCGUAGUCC
rnacentral:rRNA from 1 species